GAUGAACGCUGGCGGCGUGCUUAACACAUGCAAGUCGAACGAUUAAAGCCCCCUUCGGGGGGUGUAUAAAGUGGCGAACGGGUGAGUAACACGUGGGCAACCUGCCCUUCACUCUGGGAUAACUCCGGGAAACCGGAGCUAAUACCGGAUACUCCUUUUGGGUCGCAUGGCCUGAUAGGGAAAGCUCCGACGGUGAAGGAUGGGCCCGCGCCCCAUUAGCUUGUUGGUAGGGUAAUGGCCUACCAAGGCGACGAUGGGGUAGCCGAGCUGAGAGGCUGAUCGGCCACACUGGGACUGAGACACGGCCCAGACUCCUACGGGAGGCAG
rnacentral:rRNA from 1 species